UACGUAGGUGGCAAGCGUUGUCCAGAUUUACUGGGCGUAAAGGAUGCGUAGGCGGAUUUUUAAGUGAGAUGUGAAAUUCCCAGGCUUAACUUGGGAGCUGCAUUUCAAACUGGAAGUCUAGAGUGCGGGAGAGGAAAGUGGAAUUCCUAGUGUAGCGGUGAAAUGCGUAGAGAUUAGGAAGAACACCAGUGGCGAAGGCGACUUUCUGGACCGUAACUGACGCUGAGGCAUGAAAGCGUGGGUAGCAAACAGG
rnacentral:rRNA from 1 species